AACGUACGCUGGCGGCACGCCUAACACAUGCAAGUCGAGCGAGGUAGCAAUACCUAGCGGCAGACGGGUGCGUAACAUGUGGGAAUCUGCCUUUUGGUUCGGAACAACACGGGGAAACCUGUGCUAAUACCGGAUAAGUCCUUACGGAGAAAGUUUUAAUGCCAAAAGAUGAGCCCGCAUUUGAUUAGCUAGUUGGUGAGGCAAAAGCUCACCAAGGCGAUAAUCAAUAGCUGAUUUGAGAGGAUGAUCAGCCACACUGGGACUGAGAUACGGCCCAGACUCCUACGGGAGGCAGCAGUGGGGAAUCUUGCACAAUGGGCGAAAGCCUGAUGCAGCGAUGCCGCGUGAGUGAAGAAGGCCUUUGGGUUGUAAAGCUCUUUUGUCGGGAAAGAUAAUGACUGUACCCGAAGAAUAAGGUCCGGCUAACUUCGUGCCAGCAGCCGCGGUAAUACGAAGGGACCUAGCGUAGUUCGGAAUUACUGGGCGUAAAGAGUAUGUAGGCGGCUAGACAAGUUAAUUGUGAAAGCCCAAAGCUUAACUUUGGAAUUGCAAUUAAAACUAUUUAGCUGGAGUAUGAUAGAGGAAAGCGGAAUACAUAGUGUAGAGGUGAAAUUCGUAGAUAUUAUGUAGAACACCAGUUGCGAAGGCGGCUUUCUGGAUCAUUACUGACGCUGAGAUACGAAAGUAUGGGUAGCGAAGAGGAUUAGAUACCCUCGUAGUCCAUACCAUAAACGAUGAUUAUUAGAUGUGGGGAAUUAUUUUUCUGUAUCAUAGCUAACGCGUUAAAUAAUCCGCCUGGGGAGUACGACCGCAAGGUUAAAACUCAAAUGAAUUGACGGGGACCCGCACAAGCGGUGGAGCAUGUGGUUUAAUUCGAAGCAACGCGCAGAACCUUACCAACCCUUGACAUGUUCGUCGCGAGACUAAGAAAUUAGUCUCU
rnacentral:rRNA from 1 species